AUUUCAGGAAAGUGAAGAACGAGGAUUUUCCUGUAGAUGCCCGGAAGUUUUUUUCUCAAAAAGUGGAUCUAUUUAUGUUUCUUUAUCAUUUUGUUUGUUUGAAUGAUUUGGUUUGAUGAAAACUAACACAAGACUCUUAUAUUUUUGAGAUCUCUGAGAUGGUUUUGAGGCCUUUGGCGAAUCAUAGCUUGAGAGAAGAGGACGUGGAUGAGGUGGGCUCCUAAGAGAGGGAGCAGGGCCUCAGCAGCUCUGACAGACCGCUGGACAGGGUGUCUCCACGGCCUCUCAGGCCGGCUCACAAGACGUAACGAGAAAGUAAGAAAGAAAACAUGGCUUGGAGAUAGAAUAUGUCUGUCCAGCUGCCAAUCUGUCCGUCUGUCUCUCUAGCCUGGGGGUAUGUGAGGCUCCUGUAUCUCGGCCCCCAUCAGCCCCUGUGUUUACCAACAAUACACUCCUACUGAUGUGGCGUGUGACCAUAAACAGCAGCCACACUUACUCUUCUCGUUCGAAUUUAUGUAUGAAUUGAUCGGUUGAUAGCAGCUAUAGUAUCAAUAAAGGCUGAUAAG